UGGGGAAUUUUGGACAAUGGGGGCAACCCUGAUCCAGCAAUGCCGCGCGAGUGAAGAAGGCCUUCGGGUUGUAAAGCUCUUUUGUCAGGGAAGAAACGGUUGUGGCUAAUAUCCAUAACUAAUGACGGUACCUGAAGAAUAAGCACCGGCUAACUACGUGCCAGCAGCCGCGGUAAUACGUAGGGUGCAAGCGUUAAUCGGAAUUACUGGGCGUAAAGCGUGCGCAGGCGGUUAUAUAAGUCAGAUGUGAAAUCCCCGGGCUCAACCUGGGAACUGCAUUUGAGACUGUAUAGCUAGAGUGUGUCAGAGGGGGGUAGAAUCCCACGUGUAGCAGUGAAAUGCGUAGAGAUGUGGAGGAAUACCGAUGGCGAAGGCAGCCCCCUGGGAUAACACUGACGCUCAUGCACGAAAGCGUGGGGAGCAAACAGG
rnacentral:rRNA from 1 species